UUUUUUUUUUUUUUUUUUUUUUUGGUGGUGACCAGGAGGCCAGAAUACUACUGUGUCUAAAAAAGUGAACAUGACCUCUCCCUAUUCCUCCUCCAAUGCCCUGAGGCCUAAUAGGUGAAACCUUGAAUGUGGAAAUCAUAACUCUGCAAAUUGAGAAACUGAGACACAAUAGAAGGGCAAAGUGAGAUUCCAGGUAUCCCAAGUGCAGAUAGGGAAAUGCAUUAUAAGAGAAUCACAUCAUUAGCCUGGGCUUCAGGGGUUUUUUGCUUUAUGUUUCAUGUAGUUCUGAUGUUGUUGAAAACUAGAAUUAAAGGGUAUGAAUUACAGGAACUUUCCAGAUGUAAGAUCAGAAUCUGGCAAUUGUGAUAGAAUUGAUAGGGGGAGACAGGUGCCUGAUGAGCACAGUGUAAUCCGAAACACCCCUUUCACUUAUAGGAGACCUUUUCUAUUUCUUCUCUUUGUAUUGGGUGUAAAGGGCAAAGUGUUUCUCUCAGCUCUGGGUGCAUUGCCUUGUGCCUAGAGAGUACUUAGGUGCUUAUUUAAUUGAGCAGAAUUUUAUUAAUGGAACUUUCAGAGCCAAUUACCAGUUCCAUUGUUGGUGGUAGUAUUCAUCAUUGCUUGAAGUCUCAUACCUCUCCAAACACAGGACCUGAGUUUAGGGACAAAUUUUAGGAUGUCAGUAUCUUACAGUUUGAAUGGGGAAAUUGGUCACAUCUGAAAGCAAACAGGCUUAUGAAAGUUCUCUGCCCAAGUAGUUCGUUGUUGAUAAAUGACAAGGGGAAUGCCUGGAGCUGGUAAUGAUUCCAGCAUUAAGGAAGUCUUAUUAUACCCUUAGGGAGAGGGAUGCUUUCAUUGGGUGAGUAGUUGGAAAUCCCAAGUAUGUGUGCUAUAAUAUCUGAUUACCUAAGUAAUGUCUCCUACAGGCAGAUGUAAAAAUGGGUAUAUUUUUAUCAUAUGCCUCAAAUAUUACAUUCAUCUCUAUGGGAUGUGAACAGUGACUGACAAUCAUUUAAAUCCUUGCAUCCUAUUUCAGCUUACUUAAUUCUGAAAACGCAAUCUAGGAUGGUAUUCUGAUGAGUUGCCCUUUAAGAUAGCAUUAUUGUCCCUGUUGCUAUGAAUAAAAUGUAUUAUUUACAUUUAAGGAAUUUGAAAUCUAGUGAACUACUUCGCAUCCUAUUAUACAUGCCUCUGUUUUAGCAGUUUUGACAUUGAAAUGUAACUAUUUGAAACCUCUGUAACAAUCCAAGGGAGGAAGUAUAUGAUCCUUUAGAGUAAGGGAUACGUUUUAUUUGCUUUGAGGAACUGGUAUGCAUCCUCUUCUCUGUUGAUAACAGAAUGUUGUGAUAAAAGAUCAUUGUGUUUCCCUUUUUAUUUAGCCUGGUUUCCUAGGUGCUACAUUUGAUGCUGAGCAUGUUUUAUUCCUUCUCUCUCUUGGACCUAAACUUUCCUUUACUAUUCUAUUACACAUACAUAUAUCUCUUCUUGUAGCCAGUACAUAUCCAGUUGGGGGAGAGAGAGGGUACAAAUAAAUUCAAUUUGUUAUAACCAUUAUAAACUAUUCCUGAAGGAUCAAGACCAUGCCCCUUAGCACAAUGAGAUAGUUCUGUUAUAGUACAUACCUAAAAAUGUUUCUUGAAUGAAUAAAGCUCAACAGGGAUUUAAAAAUGUCAGGGAGACUAUUUGAGAGGGAAAACUAGAGGGACGCCUGGGUAGCUCUGUGGUUGAGCAUCUGUGUUUGGCUCAGGGCAUGAUCCCAGGGUCCUGGGAUCAAGUCCCACUUUGGGCUCCCUGUGAGGAGCCUGCUUCUCCCUCUGCCUAUGUCUCUGUCUGUCUCAUGAAUAAAUAAGUAAAAUCUUUUUUUUUUAAAGGGGGGGAAACUAGAGAGUUAUCUUGAAAGAGGAGACAUUUAUGUUAGACUGAGGAAUGAAUAGAUUUUUGACAGGCAGAGAUGGGCUGGUGAAUUUUUAAGGGAAGGAAAUUGCAUGAGCAGAGAUGUGGAAACAAAAAACACGAUCCACGUCCUUGUAAUGGUGAAUGUUCCAUUUUGGAGAAGCACAGGGAAGGUAAGUGGAGUGUUGAGAGGGAGUCUGGCAUGCAACUGCUGCUGGAAUGACCAUCUUGGCUAUUGCUACCUCUUGUCUCUUUAUCAUCUUGUCUGGAGUGAGGCUCCAGAGUCCACAAGCCCAAGAGUUCCCAGGGCAGGAAAGGGCACACAGCCCAUACCCCUCUAGUGUCCUCUCAUAUCCCGCCCUUGACUCUUAGUCAUUUACUCUAAUCCUUUACUUAAAACAACUUAGCCGUGAUGUUAUUUUAACCCUGCUUAAAACCCAAGCAGUCCAAAGGCUGUCAUGCAACCUUAAUUAUUCUUUAGUUUACUCACCAGGAGGCCCUGAACAUAAAGCACAUUUACAUCCAUAGGUAGCAGACAUCCUCUCACAGAUAAUGGAUUAUUUCAUUACUUGAGGCUGUAUGGGUGAAAUUUAGAUGUAGUUAAAACAAAAGUUUAUAUUUACUAAGCAUUAUGAGCCAAGCAAUCUACUAAGAACUUAUACUGAUUAUAUCAUCUAGUCCUUAUUGCCAUUCUUAGCAUAUGCUAUAAUCUUCAUUUCAGAAAUGAGAAAGAAUGUAUAGAAGUUUAGUAUCAUUUAAGUUCAUACAAUAGGUGCCAGAGCUGGGAUCUGAAUCUAGGAAGUUGGACUCCAAAGCCUGAGCUCUCAGCCAACACUUUGUACUGAUUUAAAGAAGCACAUUAGAGGUACCUGGAUGGCACAGAAGGUUAAGCGUCUGAUUCUUGGUUUCAGUUCAGAUCCUGAUCUCAGGGUUAUGAGAUUGAGCCCCACAUCAGGCUCUGUGCUCAGCAUGGGGUCUGCUUCAGCCUCUUUCUCUCUCUGUCUCUGCCCCCACCCCUCGCUCUCUCUUUCUCAAAUAAAUCUUUAGAAAGAUAAAGAAGCACAUUAAGGGGUACCUGGGUGGCUCAGUGGUUGAGCAUCUGCCUUUGGUUUAGGUCAUGAUCCCUGGGUCCUGGGAUGGAGUCCCACAUCGGGCUCCAUGCACCGGGAGCCCGAUGUGGGACUCGAUCCCAGGUCUCCAGGAUCGUGCCCUGGGCCAAAGGCAGGCGCC
rnacentral:lncRNA from 1 species